GGGCUGGCGGGCCCGCCCAGGCCGCAGUCCGCGCUCCUCCCGCAGCAUGGAGCCUCACCUCGGCUUCCGCGGGCGCCGGGCUCUGGUGACUGGAGCCGGCAAAGGGAUCGGGCGCGCCGUGGCCGUGGCGCUGAGCAAGGCCGGGGCCCGCGUGACGGCGCUGAGCCGCACCGCGGCGGACCUGGAGAGCCUCGCCCAAGAGUGCCCGGGAAUCGAGCCCCUAUGCCUGGACCUGGCCGACUGGGACGCCACGGAGACGGCGGUCGGCGCGGCGGGGCCCUUCGAGCUGCUGGUGAACAACGCGGCCGUGGCGGUGCUGCAGCCCUUCCUGGAGGUGACGCGGGAGGCCCUGGAGCGGUGAGUGCCGCGGAGUCGGGCUCCCCGGAGGCCGCUGCCCUCGGCUGCGCUGAGGCCCCGCGGGGCGGGCGCUGCCGGCCGAGCGUCAGCCAAACCCGAGCGCCGGAAUGUGGCAAGGCUGUCCAGAAGCUGGUGUCUCCUAGAAAGGAAGCAGCUGUGCAAGGGCACCGGGUGAUGGCGUGCACACACCGUCCAGCCUGCACGGGACACAGGAGCACCUUUCCCUGUUAAUCAGGCUCAGAGCUUCCAUUCUAGCUCCAACCCAACCUCUGCUAAAUGGAAAGGCAGUUGUUAUUAAGAUAAUUCAAAUAUAGAGAAGACAAAGCCAGGUCUCUUGAUGUGAAUCUUCAGGCUGUGCUUCAUGUUUCCCAGAUUGUGGCUCGGCAGAUGAUUGCACAGGGGGUGGCGGGUGCUAUUGUGAACGUCUCGAGUCAGGCAUCUCGGCGUGCUCUGCGGGAUCAUGCUGUGUACUGUUCCACGAAAAGUGCUUUGGAUAUGCUGAGCAAGGUAAUGGCAAUGGAACUAGGACCCCACAAGAUUCGGGUUAACACUGUGAACCCCACAGUGGUUAUGACUGACAUGGGGAGAAUUAACUGGAGCGAUCCUCAGAAAUCUGCUGCCAUGAUUAAUCGAAUUCCACUGGGAAAGUUUGCAGAGGUGGAUGAUGUGGUGAACAGCAUUCUCUUCCUGCUGAGUGACAAGAGCGCUAUGACAACUGGCAGCUCACUGAUGGUUGAUGGGGGAUUUCUUGUCUCCUAAGAUGACACCUGCGUUUCACACCUGGCCUUAAUUUCCAUACUAGUACUGCACAGCUGUAAACUGGAUAGAAAACAAUGACCCAGACCCAGUCUUGCUGGAGAAGAGGGGCAGCAGGCUGGAACCUUUAUGGGAAGUGAGGCAGAAAACUACCUUUAGAAGUUGCUAUAUAAUAAAGCUUAUAUACACCGUCA